CGGCCGCAUCACGUUGAAACACCGGUUCCCGUACGAUCAUUCAAGUUAAGCAACUUAUUGCUGGUCAGUACCUGGAUGGGUUACCGCUUGGGAAUACAAUGUGCUGUAAG